GUCUCCGCUCUGGCCCUCUAGGUCUAGGAGAUCUGGGAGUGGCAAAUUAUCAUAAUCUUCAGUGGCAGGUGCACAGAUCGCGGUUACCUCUUCCGUGCGCUCGUGGUAUGGCUUGAGCAUGUUCACAUGGAGCAUGCACCUGCCUCCCGUGCCUGUGACCGCACCGAUCACAAAGGUGGUAUCACAAACCUGCUCUACCACCUUGUAUGGGCCCUGCCAGGAAGCCUGCAGCUUGUCCUUGUGGACAGUGUCAAUCCAUAUCUGCC